AAUAUUGCGCAAUGGACGAAAGUCUGACGCAGCGACGCCGCGUGGAGGAUGAAGGUUUUCGGAUCGUAAGCUCCUGUCAAGAGGGAAGAAACCUAUUAAGAAUAAUACUCUUAGUAAUUGACGGUACCUAUAGAGGAAGCACCGGAUAAUUCAGUGCCAGCAGCCGCGGUAAUAGUGAAGGUGCAAGCGUUAAUCGGAAUCACUGGGCGUAAAGCGCUUGUAGGUGGCUUUGUAAGUCAGAUGUGAAAGCCCACGGCUCAACCGUGGAAUCGCAUUUGAUAGUGCAUCGCUAGAGUAUAGGAGAGGGAAGUGGAAUUUUUGGUGUAGGAGUGAAAUCCGUAGAGAUCAGAAGGAACACCGGUGGCGAAGGCGACUUCCUGGACUAUUACUGACACUGAGGAGCGAAAGCGUGGGGAGCAAACAGGAUUAGAUACCCUGGUAGUCCACGCCGUA
rnacentral:rRNA from 1 species